rnacentral:lncRNA from 1 species
GUACCUAGCACUGGGUCUUGCAAAGAGCAGAUGUUUGAUAAAUAUUUGUUAAACUGUUGGAUUCAAUCUAUUCUACGUUGGUUAAUAUUUCAGGGGCUCUGAACUCAGAGGACAGAGAUAUAUUCUGUCACCUUGUGAAUGCUUGGAAUCAGAUGAAAUAGCACACACAGCAUCUUAGAGUCAUUGCCAAUCCUAUUACUCUGAAAACAGAGACCACUGGUUCUUAUCCUCACAGAACUUCAGGAUGUGUGGUUGUCUGCUUUGGAAACUCUGACAUAUCUCCUUGUUUUUUAAUAUGUCUCUCAAGCCUUCUGAAAUGAAGCCAUUACUUUUUUUUAAAACUCCUUUGUUUUCCAGGAAGAGAUUGGCUCUCCACUGCCCAGGAACCAAGUCCAUAAGUGGAAAGUCCAGCAUCAAAAUGCCUUGCUGUGGAAGGAAAAGGGGCCACUGACCUGAAACUGACCAUCAAGAAUCCAGGUUCCUUCCACACCACUGAGGCAGCUUUGGAGGAAAGAAGAAUAGCAUAAGAUAACAACACUAUUCACUUCACCUGUGAAGACCAGAGACACAUCUUUAUUGAUAUACAGAGCAUGGCAAGUGGACAGUUAGCUCUCAGUUCUCCUCCCAUCACAACCACAUUAGGGCUUUGAGAAAGUCACUUAAUUUAUUUCAACCUGUUUCCUUGUAUUUAAAAUAGGAGCAUUACUGUUAGUAGAGUUGUGAUCUGACCUAACCAUUCUGGAGAAUAAUUUGGAACUAUACCCAAAAGGCUACGAAACUGUGCAUACCUUUUGUUCCAGCAAUACCACUGCUAGGUCUGUAUUCCAAAGAGAUGUUUUAAAAAGGGAAAAGAACCUAUUUGUGAGAAAAAAAUUAUAGCAGCUCUUUUUGUGGUGGCAAAGAAUUGGAAAUUAUGUGAAUGCCCAUAAAUUGGGGAAUGGCUGAACAAUUAUGAUGGAAUGCUCUUGUGAUAUAAAAAAUAAAGAGCAGGAUGUUUUCA